rnacentral:rRNA from 1 species
CACGUAGGGGGCAAGCGUUGUCCGGAUUUAUUGGGCGUAAAGAGCUCGUAGGUGGUUCGGUAAGUCGGGUGUUAAACCCCCAGGCUCAACCUGGGGACGCCACUCGAUACUGCUGUGACUAGAGUCCGGUAGGGGAGCGUGGAAUUCCUGGUGUAGCGGUGAAAUGCGCAGAUAUCAGGAGGAACACCGGUGGCGAAGGCGGUUCUCUGGGAAUGUCCUGACGCUGAGGAGCGAAAGUGUGGGGAGCGAACAGG